rnacentral:rRNA from 1 species
UGGGGAAUAUUGGACAAUGGGCGAAAGCCUGAUCCAGCAAUGCCGCGUGUGUGAAGAAGGCCUUUUGGUUGUAAAGCACUUUAAGCGAGGAGGAGGCUACUUGGAUUAAUACUCUAGGAUAGUGGACGUUACUCGCAGAAUAAGCACCGGCUAACUCUGUGCCAGCAGCCGCGGUAAUACAGAGGGUGCGAGCGUUAAUCGGAUUUACUGGGCGUAAAGCGUGCGUAGGCGGCUUUUUAAGUCGGAUGUGAAAUCCCUGAGCUUAACUUAGGAAUUGCAUUCGAUACUGGGAAGCUAGAGUAUGGGAGAGGAUGGUAGAAUUCCAGGUGUAGCGGUGAAAUGCGUAGAGAUCUGGAGGAAUACCGAUGGCGAAGGCAGCCAUCUGGCCUAAUACUGACGCUGAGGUACGAAAGCAUGGGGAGCAAACAGGAUUAGAUACCCUGGUAGUCCAUGCCGUAAACGAUGUCUGCUAGCCGUUGGGGCCUUUGAGGCUUUAGUGGCGCAGCUAACGCGAUAAGUAGACCGCCUGGGGAGUACGGUCGCAAGACUAA